GAUGAACGCUGGCGGCGUGCCUAAUACAUGCAAGUCGAGCGAACGGACGAGAAGCUUGCUUCUCUGAUGUUAGCGGCGGACGGGUGAGUAACACGUGGAUAACCUACCUAUAAGACUGGGAUAACUUCGGGAAACCGGAGCUAAUACCGGAUAAUAUUUUGAACCGCAUGGUUCAAAAGUGAAAGACGGUCUUGCUGUCACUUAUAGAUGGAUCCGCGCUGCAUUAGCUAGUUGGUAAGGUAACGGCUUACCAAGGCAACGAUGCAUAGCCGACCUGAGAGGGUGAUCGGCCACACUGGAACUGAGACACGGUCCAGACUCCUAAGGGAGGCAGCAGGAGGGAAUCUUCCGCAAUGGGCGAAAGCCUGACGGAGCAACGCCGCGUGAGUGAUGAAGGUCUUCGGAUCGUAAAACUCUGUUAUUAGGGAAGAACAUAUGUGUAAGUAACUGUGCACAUCUUGACGGUACCUAAUCAGAAAGCCACGGCUAACUACGUG
rnacentral:rRNA from 1 species